GACGAACGCUGGCGGCGUGCUUAACACAUGCAAGUCGAACGGAAAGGCCUCUUUCGGGGGGUACUCGAGUGGCGAACGGGUGAGUAACACGUGAGUAACCUGCCCUUGACUUUGGGAUAACUUCAGGAAACUGGGGCUAAUACCGGAUAGGAGCUCCUGCUGCAUGGUGGGGGUUGGAAAGUUUCGGCGGUUGGGGAUGGACUCGCGGCUUAUCAGCUUGUUGGUGGGGUAGUGGCUUACCAAGGCUUUGACGGGUAGCCGGCCUGAGAGGGUGACCGGCCACAUUGGGAUUGAGAUACGGCCCAGACUCCUACGGGAGGCAGCAGUGGGGAAUAUUGCACAAUGGGUGGAAGCCUGAUGCAGCAACGCCGUGUGCGGGAGGACGGCCUUCGGGUUGUAAACCGCUUUCGCUCAUGACGAAGCUUUGUGUGACGGUAGUGGGUAAAGAAGCACCGGCUAACUACGUG
rnacentral:rRNA from 1 species